rnacentral:rRNA from 1 species
GGUACCGGAAGAAUAAGCACCGGCUAACUACGUGCCAGCAGCCGCGGUAAUACGUAGGGUGCGAGCGUUAAUCGGAAUUACUGGGCGUAAAGCGUGCGCAGGCGGUGCUGUAAGACCGAUGUGAAAUCCCCGGGCUUAACCUGGGAACUGCAUUGGUGACUGCAGCGCUGGAGUAUGGCAGAGGGGGGUGGAAUUCCACGUGUAGCAGUGAAAUGCGUAGAGAUGUGGAGGAACACCGAUGGCGAAGGCAGCCCCCUGGGCCAAUACUGACGCUCAUGCACGAAAGCGUGGGGAGCAAACAGGAUUAGAUACCCUGGUAGUCCACGCCCUAAACGAUGUCAACUGGUUGUUGGGGAUUCAUUUCCUUAGUAACGUAGCUAACGCGUGAAGUUGACCGCCUGGGGAGUACGGUCGCAAGAUUAAA